UGUUAGAGAAAUGUGAAGAAUCUCCAUUCAGGGAGGUGACAGCUGAGGCCAAGGCCACUUAUCAUUGCAAGGGUACUUGGAAUUGUACUUUUGAAUCUGGCCCCAUAGCAACCUCAAAUACAAACAGAAUUCUGUAACUAAGGAGGAAGCACUCAGGCCAAAGAGAGGGCAACCACAGGCUGCCUGUUGUGGCUGCCAUUCUGAGCUCAGAUAGCUUCAUGGGCUUUUCACUGCUGGCUCUCUCCGAUGCAGACCACCACCUCACGGAGGCCUGCCACCUCAGAAACAGCCUCACAGACACGGUGUUUCUAUGGUGACUCUAGGCCCCAUCAGACUGGCUGUGAAGAUUCACCACAGCAAGGAGGUGCUACGAAUGCUCCAGAGUUGACUUAAGGCACAGGAGAGAACUUCAUAGGCUACACGCAAACCCCUGGCCUCUUUACACCGAAGACGUUGCAAUCUUCUAGGUCCUGGAAUCAGAACUCAGGCUCGAGUCUGAGGGAUGGCUACCCAUGGGGAGAGAAUUUUCCUCCCAUUCCAUCUCAACAGCAAAUCCCUGUCCUAAGCACAGGUGAUGGUAUUAGCCAUCAAGUGUUCCUGAGCUGGCUCAGUGGGCAAAGGUGCUUGCUGCCGUGUCUGAUGGCCAAAGUUGGAUGCCCCAAGUUGGAUGCCCCAAGUCCCACAUGGAAGAAGGAGAGGCUCAACUCCAGCAAACUGACCUUUGACAUCUACAUUCUCGCUGUGGCACAUGUAAAUACAUGCCCUCUUUCAAUAAAUAAGUAAAUAAUAAUAAAAAAAAUUCACAGUA